GUGUUUGCUGCACGUUGUCUUUAACUGAAUGGAAUGAAAUCACUUUGAUUGAGGAGCUUUCUUUCCUAGUGAAAUAGGAUGCAGGUGUAACAUGCAGUGUUGCAAUUCAACCUUGUCGUGGUUGAUACUGGCUAGAUCUUAUUGUUGCCUCUCAUUGCUUGCCAUAUAAGAGUGAAUGAUGAUGUCUCUAAGCUCCAGCAUUAUGAUAAUGUCUACAAGAUCAGAAGUGCAUGCUUAGUGACUUUUGAUGAUCUAUAGAGCUCUUUUCUCACUAUUUCCUAUUUUUUUGUCCAUCAAUUGCUACAAGUUAGUUCUUUCUUGGCACAUGAAGGCUGCCACCAUGUGUGAAUUUUCCAAGCAGGAGUUCAUUGGUGGUUUACAAGCUCUUGGGAUAGAUUCACU